rnacentral:lncRNA from 1 species
CCAGCUGCAGAAGAAGUUCCUGAAGGUCUCUGACAGCGAAAAGGAGGCCGAGGGCGACACAUUGCAAGUAAGCUUAGUUAGUGGAUGACAUCCCCCCAAAAUAAAACCUGGUGCCUUUUUUUGUGGCAAAAAUUAUAAGACAGGGUCUUAUUUUUCAGGGAAACAAGGUAGAAUGAGAUCUCCUACAUACUUGCACGCCAAGCAAUCAUAAGCAGUAAAAUAACUUUAUUCAUAAAUGCAAAAUUUAAAAAAUCCUAAAUGCUUUCAUUGUAUUAAAUUAAAAAUAGUAUAUUUAAAUAUUGCCAAUUGUUUGAUUUCUUUCUUUCUUUUUGGGAGCAAUCAGUAUGCCUCACUGGAUCCCAUAUUAAAUAGACAAGACAAAUGGAAGAGCGAUUGUUUACCAAUAUGAAAUUAGUUUAAAACAAAUACUUUAGUUUGAUGAUGUAGUUCUAAAUUAAAAAAUCUAUAUAGGACAAAAUAACACUCCAGCAUUUUCCUAAGAAUAUUUUUCAUCAUAUUUGUUUAUCAGAUUUCCAGGAAAGAGUGACUUUUUUUCAGUUAGUUUGUUUUCUUGUUUCUGCAUGAAGAUUAGGUGAGGAAAGCAGACCUGCCAUGAUAGAUAAACUGUUUUCCUAAAUCUUUGUAAAAUCCAAUCUCUCAACCAUGGUUGACUUGUGCAUAUGUAUAUCUUUGUUUUUAAUGUUAUUGUACGCCUUAGUGAGCACUGGAUCAAAUCAAAGUCUUUACCGAUUAAUUGCCAUUUAUUUAUAUCAUGUGGGAGAUUGAAUACCAGCCUGUAUAUUUUUGAAUUCCAUUAAAUUUCAUUUCUUGUUUUAUAUUAUGGAACGCGAUUCUGUUUUUUUUGGGGGUGAGAGUAAAAUCCGAUGCGAGGAAUUUGAAUGCAAUUUCAGUAACAACUAAAAUAAAUGUAUCUAUUUUCCUGUGCUUGUUAUAACUUUCAGAAUAAGAAAAAUCUUAAUGAGAUGUGGGAGAAAAACUACUACUGUACUGCAAGAAUAGAAUGUUAAUAACUUAAGCUGAAAUGCAAGAUUUUUUUUAAAAAGGUUAUAUUUGAAACAUUACAGCAUUAAUUGAGUCAUUACAGCAUUAAUGUAUUCUGUAACAUAACUUGAAAUGCCAAAGUUAGGCUAGAUGAAUGAAUUAAUUUUCCUGAGAAUUGGAUUCGGUAUUGUGUAUUGCUAAAUCUCACUGCUGAGAACAUGUGUCAUAGGCCCAUAUGUAGCAACGAACUGUUUCAGUUGCUGGUGGCACUCCAUCAAGUAAAUAUCCCUUUGAUUCAGGGAGUUCUCAGAAUUGAGUUCAAAUGGAAAAAGUGCAUUAGGAGCCACACAAAAUACAGAAGCACCUGUGUAAAGAAAAUGAAUUAAUCUUUAAAUUAAUUAAAAUUUUAAAAUCACAAGCUUGUCUAGGAAUUUGUUUUUGAG